GGAUGCUUAACCUACAUCACUGAGGUAUGCAAAAGGAGUCACUAUCCAACCAAUUAACCAGGCUUUUUCUGUUUUCUUUUUUUCCCUGACUAUUCGUCCUUGUCUCUGAGUUAAGGUGCACUAUACCUGUGUUACACCAAGAUAUCUGGGGAAUUGACUACUCUCUUUGUAACUUGCUGUCCGACUCUCACCAAACUUCUUUGUUUUCUUCUUGCUUCUGACUUAGACUCCCCACCCUCUCCUCAAUUUCUCUAACUCAUAGAUUCUGCAUGCUUCUGGUUAUUAAUUUGUCCAUGGCUUGGCAUAACAGCUGUCAUCCUUCACUCUACGUCACAGCCCCUGUGCUUUCUUUCAGCUUCAGUUUCCAUGGCUUAUUUCCAAUUCCUGCAAGAGCAGCUCAACCUUUUCUACCAGACCUCCUUUUGGAGGAGAGGCCACGUGAUGACAUAGCAAGAUCGCUGUCUACAAACCAGCAAGAGAGGUCUCACCAGAAACCAACCCGGUUGGCACCUUGAUCACGGACUUCCAGAACAGCGCUACAUGACAAGGAACGGAGAGCAGCCCCUAGCAGCUGAAAGCAGUCCCUGAUGACAGCCAGCAAGAAAACGAGGACCUCAGUCAUACAGCUGCAAGGAAGCAAAUUCUGCCAACAACCA